GAUGAACGCUGGCGGCGUGCCUAAUACAUGCAAGUCGAGCGAACAGAUGAGGAGCUUGCUCCUCUGACGUUAGCGGCGGACGGGUGAGUAACACGUGGAUAACCUACCUAUAAGACUGGGAUAACUUCGGGAAACCGGAGCUAAUACCGGAUAAUAUAUUGAACCGCAUGGUUCAAUAGUGAAAGACGGUUUUGCUGUCACUUAUAGAUGGAUCCGCGCCGCAUUAGCUAGUUGGUAAGGUAACGGCUUACCAAGGCAACGAUGCGUAGCCGACCUGAGAGGGUGAUCGGCCACACUGGACCUAAGACACGGUCCAGACUCCUACGGGAGGCAGCAGUAGGGAAUCUUCCGCAAUGGGCGAAAGCCUGACGGAGCAACGCCGCGUGAGUGAGGAAGGUCUUCGGAUCGUAAAACUCUGUUAUUAGGGAAGAACAAAUGUGUAAGUAACGAUGCACGUCUUGACGGUACCUAAUCAGAAAGCCACGGCUAACUACGU
rnacentral:rRNA from 1 species